AUCGAAAACCUCUGCCGCUCACGCGCCCUCCAAGCCUUCCACCUCGACGCCCAAUCCUGGGGCGUCAACGUCCAGCCCUACUCCGGCUCCCCGGCCAACUUCGCCGCCUACACCGCCGUCCUCAACCCCCACGACCGCAUCAUGGGGCUAGAUCUCCCCUCCGGCGGCCACCUCACCCACGGCUACUACACCUCCGGCGGAAAGAAGAUCUCCGCCACCUCCAUUUACUUCGAGAGUCUCCCUUACAAGGUAAACUCCACCACCGGCUACAUCGACUACGACCGCUUGGAAGAAAAAGCCCUAGACUUCAGGCCAAAACUCAUAAUCUGCGGUGGCAGCGCGUACCCUCGCGAUUGGGA
rnacentral:lncRNA from 1 species